rnacentral:misc_RNA from 1 species
GAUGAAGAACGCAGCGAAAUGCGAUAAGUAGUGUGAAUUGCAGAAUUCAGUGAAUCAUCGAAUCUUUGAACGCACAUUGCGCCCCUUGGUAUUCCGAGGGGCAUGCCUGCUCGAGCGUCAUUAUAACCCCUCAAGCUCAGCUUGGUGUUGGGGCCUGCUGCACUGGCAGCCCUUAAAAUCAGUGGCGGCGCCAUCUGGCUCUAAGCGUAGUAAUUCUUCUCGCUAUGGAGUCCUGGUGGAUGCUUGCCAUCAACCCCCAAUUUUUCUAUGGUUGACCUCGGAUCAGGUAGGGAUACCCGCUGAACUUAAGCAUAUCAAUAAGCGGAGGA